AGUGUUUAAGGAACCAGUAUUUGAUAUAGCUAAAGAUCCUCUGUAUCUGGUUUUUUUUUUUAGAAUUCUUAUGAGAAAUUUACAUCCAGGCACUAUCAUAGAUCCCAAUUUUGAUAUAGAUGUCUCACUUUGUUGCCUAGGCUGGAGUGCAGUGGUGAUUCUGACACAUGAUCAUAGCACACUACAGCCUCUAAAUCUUGGGUUCAGGAGAUUCUCCUGCCUCAGCCUCCCAAGUAGCUGAGACUACAAGUAAGUGCUACUGAACCUCAAUAUUUAAUUUCACUUCUUAACUUAAAAUAUUGGAUAAAUUUAGAAUUAAUUUAGAUUUUUAAAAUGAGAAUGAUUUCCAAACUUUUAUUAUUGAAAUAGUAAUUAGUCACAAUGUGACUGAUUAAAUUUUGUAUUUUUUCUCACAUUGCCCCCUCUAUGUUAGACAAUAUUUUUAUAUCUGUGUGAAUUGCUCUAUGCAUUAUGCUAUUUUCUUAAACAAUUUGCCUAUUUCAGUGCCAGUAACCAAAAUUAUUAGUUUAGCCUUUUGUCUUCAUAUUUUCUACAUAUUCUCUUUUCCUGUACUUUAAUUCUUUUAUAUGAGCCAUUUAAUAUGACUUUCUAUGUUCAAAAAUGUUUGUAAGUGAAUUGAUCAGUGUGAGAAUUGACAUAUUUAUGGCAUUGUCUUUUUCCUCUGUAAAAACAUUUUACAUUUUUAAAAAUAUUUAAAUCCUUUUUAUGUGUUUAAAUAAUUAGAAUUGUAAGGCUUUUCUGCUAAAGUUCCUAUUUUUUUCUUGGAAGACUUUCUUGUAUAACUAUGAUGGUUUACUUUUAUUAAAUGCUGGAGAUGAUUAUUGUUAAUACAGAGAAAAGCUAUUGUUAUUUAUAUAUAAAUUCCUAUAAUGAACCCUAUACACAUUUGUUAUUGCAUGCGUUAACAUUUUUCAUUUGAUUUUGGUAUUGAUUUUCCAACUAUUAAAUCUCAUUAUACACAAUAAUGAUAAAUUUUCAUCUUUUCUAUAACUUUAAUUGAUUUCUUUCUGUUGAAUGCUUGAAUUUACUGCUAAUUCCAGAAAAAUACCUUAAAUAAUGUUAAUGAUUUUGAACCUGCUUGUUUACAUUUGAUUUAAUACUGAUAUAUGCUUCUGGGUUUUUAAUGUUUAGAUCAGUUUAGGUUUUUCAAUGAAAUGUGGAGGAAUGAGAUCUAGAGAACAAGGGAGUAAGUGAGAGUAAUGGCAAGUGCAAAGGAAAAAGAUGGACAAGACUAAUGGAGGAAAUCAAGAAGGAAAAGAGAGAGGCAGACAGAGAGAGAGAGAGACUUAUUUGAGGUAUUUUUUUAAAAUCAGUAAUUGAUGAAUUUUUCAAAUAAUUCUUAAGUCUUUAGCUUUUAGCUUAUUUGUGUUAUUAAAAUUUUAAAAUAUAGAAUCAUUUAACCUAUUACUGUGGUCUCAAUAGAUUUUCUAAUACUUGUCUUUUGUACAUUUGCACAUCCUAUGAUCUUUUCAAGUCAAAUCCUGUGACAUCUGUCUGAGGUGGGGCAAGGUAAAGGUAUUAGGGAUGUUGAUAUGUUAACUGUUUUGUACAUGAUAACACCUUUGUUGAGCUAUACAAGUAUGAUCAUUGAAUAAGAGAAGAAAGAAGACAGUAUGAUUUAAACAGCUAAUUACUGGAAAUAGUGAGAUAUGGUGUCAGAUA
ensembl:lncRNA